rnacentral:rRNA from 1 species
GGGGAAUAUUGGACAAUGGGCCACAAGCCUGAUCCAGCAAUUCUGUGUGCACGAUGAAGGUCUUCGGAUUGUAAAGUGCUUUCAGUUGGGAAGAAGUAAGUGACGGUACCAACAGAAGAAGCGACGGCUAAAUACGUGCCAGCAGCCGCGGUAAUACGUAUGUCGCAAGCGUUAUCCGGAUUUAUUGGGCGUAAAGCGCGUCUAGGCGGAAAAGUAAGUCUGAUGUUAAAAUGCGGGGCUCAACUCCGUAUUGCGUUGGAAACUGCUUUUCUAGAGUACUGGAGAGGUGGGCGGAACUACAAGUGUAGAGGUGAAAUUCGUAGAUAUUUGUAGGAAUGCCGAUGGAGAAGUCAGCUCACUGGACAGAUACUGACGCUAAAGCGCGAAAGCGUGGGGAGCAAAC